rnacentral:rRNA from 1 species
UUGGAGGGCAAGUCUGGUGCCAGCAGCCGCGGUAAUUCCAGCUCCAAUAGCGUAUAUUAAAGUUGUUGCAGUUAAAAAGCUCGUAGUUGAAUUUCGGGGUUCUACCGUUGGUCGGGCUUUGUCUGUACUGGUGUGUAGAAUUUCUACCUUCUGGGGAACCAUCAUGCUAUUAAUUUAGCGUGGUGGGAAACCAGGACCUUUACCUUGAAAAAAUUAGUGUGUUCAAAGCAGGCUUAUGUCUGAAUACAUUAGCGUGGAAUAAUAGAAUAGGACGGUGGUCCUGUUUUGUUGGUUUCUGAAUCACCGUAAUGAUUAAUAGGGAUAGUUGGGGGCAUUAGUAUUCAAUUGUCAGAGGUGAAAUUCUUGGAUUUAUUGAAGACUAACUUCUGCGAAAGCAUUUGCCAAGGAUGUUUUCAUUAAUCAAGAACGAAAGUUAGGGGACCGAAGACGAUCAGAUACCGUCGUAGUCUUAACCAUAAACUAUGCCGACUAGGGAUCGGACGAUGUUAAUUUUUCUUGACUCGUUCGGCGCCUUACGGGAAA